GUGAGGGGAGGUCGGUCGUCGGGGGAGGCGACUCGCCGGAGGGGAUCGAGCGCCGGAGAGGGAGAUCCAGCCGGCCGCGGAGGGGGGGAAAGCCUUCCUCUUUCCUUCGGUGAAGACCCUCCAUUUCUCCGCCGAUUCCUCGCCGGAAAGGCCGCCGGAGCACCCAUCGGACCGAGAAUCUUUCCAACAAGAUUUUAUUGAAUGCUGUUAAAGAAUUUUCUCCAUUGAAACUCCGCAUUGGGGGCUCCUUGCAAGAUAAGGUCAUAUAUGGCGUGGAUCCUCAACAGCCAUGUACUCCUUUUGUUAAGAAAAA